rnacentral:lncRNA from 1 species
GGGCAAGCCAGCUUGAGGGAUGACUGAACACAUAUGAGGGAGCAAAGACAAGGCAGGGGAUCAAGCCAGAAGGAAUUGGCUGCAAAGGAGGGAUUGGCAUUGACAUUAAUGGGAAGGAGAUAUUGCCAUGGUUUGCCAAAAAUGAGACAGAACAUUUUCUUUCCCCCUGAGGGAUAUGCGUUGGAAACAGGCAAAAGGAGUGAAAAUGGAAGGUGGCUCUUCUCCAGACAUCCAGAGAGAACAUUCUGCCUCAGCUGUGCCUCUCCUCUUUCCAUCCUUCCUAUGAAUUUUAUUUGCUUGCCCAUUGGAGAAAAGGAAUAG